UGACCCGUGGUGUAAUGGUAACACACCUGGUUUUGGUCCAGGCAUUUAAGGUUCGAGUCCUUACGGGUCAACAA
rnacentral:tRNA from 1 species